rnacentral:tRNA from 1 species
GCGGGUGUAGCUCAUUUGGCAGAGCGCUAGCUUCCCAAGCUGGAGGUAGAGGGUUCGAGCCCCUUCACCCGCU